GAACGGGAAGGCUAUCUGGCUGUGACAUCUGUCACCCCAUUGAUCACCAGGGUUGAUUUGGCUGAUCUGGCUGGCUAGGCGGGUGUCCCCUUCCUCCCUCACUGCUAUGAGCAUCCCUCCCGAAACUGCAUGCUCAGUCCAAGAGGAUGACUUUCCCUGAUAGAGUGUAUGUUCUUUGGUUAAGAGUAUAGGAGUAGCUUCUAGAACAAGCUCCCAAAGUCAUAAAAAGACCAAGGUCUCCCAUUUUAUCCAGAGCCU
rnacentral:snRNA from 1 species